GACUUAUUAGCUCAGUUGGUUAGAGUGUCGUGCUACUAAGGCAAAAAUCAUAGGUUCGGUUCCUGCAUGUGUUG
rfam:Glycine soja cultivar W05 scaffold2103_49, whole genome shotgun sequence.